AUUGAACGCUGGCGGCAGGACUAACACAUGCAAGUCGAACGAGUGGCGGACGGGUGAGUAAUGUCUGGGAAACUGCCCGAUGGAGGGGGAUAACUCCUGGAAACGGUAGCUAAUACCGCAUACCAUCAGAUGUGCCCAGAUGGGAUUAGCUUGUAGGUGAGGUAACGGCUCACCUAGGCGACGAUCCCUAGCUGGUCUGAGAGGAGGACCAGACAAGCUGGAAAUGAGACACGUGCAAGACUACUACGGGAGGCAGCAGUGGGGAAUAUGGCACAAUGGGCGCAAGCGUUAUGCAGCCAUGCCGCGGUUAUGAAGAAGGCCUUCGUGUUGUAAAGUACUUUCAGCGGGGAGGCGUUACCCGCAGAAGAAGCACCGGCUAACUCCGUGCCAGCAGCGGCGGUAAUUC
rnacentral:rRNA from 1 species